AAACCAUGGUGUGGGCAUUGAGCUUGGUAGCCCUUGAAUCUCUCCCAGGCUUCACUGAAGCCUUCCAAGUUCUUCUGUUGAAAGCUGGAAAUCUAAUUUCUCAGCUU
rnacentral:snoRNA from 1 species